UACGUAGGUGGCAAGCGUUGUCCGGAUUCACUGGGCGUAAAGCGCGCGCAGGCGGUCUUCUACGUCUGGGGUGAAAACCCGGGGCUCAACCCCGGGACUGCCUUGGAUACGGGAAGACUUGAGGAUCGGAGAGGCAAGGGGAAUUCCACGUGUAGCGGUGAAAUGCGUAGAGAUGUGGAGGAACACCUGUGGCGAAGGCGGCUCACUGGCCCGAUACUGACGCUGAGGCACGAAAGCGUGGGGAGCAAACAGG
rnacentral:rRNA from 1 species